UUACGGCAAUACCACGUUGAAUCAGCGGUUCCCGUACGAUCGCCGAAGUUAAGCAACGUCGAGCCUGAUCCGUACCUAGAUGGGUAUCCGCUUGGGGAUACCAGG